AGGUCCUGAAAAUCCAUGUCCCCAAAUUCCCCCCUCUCCUUAAUGCAACAGAACAGCCACAUGGCAACUGAAUGGGAGCGAAGCUGAUCCUUAGUUGAAUGGUUUACAUCGAUCAAGCCACAGCUAAAAUAAUAGGAAGACACUCCCACUUAGCGCCGGCAGAUUAACAUUAACCAUUUGUCUACGGGACGCCCGCUAACGUCAAUCAUUAUUUUCCGUCAAUCAAGCCUUGCUUCAUCUGGUUACAUCGUCUGCAGGCCAGGGAGAGAGAAAUAUAGAGAGUGAAACCUUUAAGAAUCGCCACUUGGAGGUAACGUCGAAUUCCAUAAACACCAAACAUGGGAUGAGACUUUUUGUUUGUUACGGGGUUGCUCCGGACGUCACUGUUGGUCACAGACUGAAAAACGGCAUCAUAAUCCGGCCACCAAUGACAGCGUCACCUCAGUCCAGUGAUACAGAUUCCUGGUGUUAGGAAGACCUGUCACCUGUCUUCAUACAAGCGUCCGAUCCAUUUAUGGGAACGCGAGAUCUAUGCAGGCGAGAGAAAGGACGAGAAGGGUAUGCAGAUGGGAUUAGGUGAAGGGACGUGGGAGGAUUAUGGAAUAUCAUGUUUGGGCCGAUCAGCAUGUACUAGUUUUGGCCGAAUGGUUUGCUGCUGUAAAUUCCAUGUCAAAGUACAAAAACUUCUAACUGAACGAGAAAUGGAUGGGAAUCUGACUUGAGCUAAUGAACUUCUUGUAGUUCAUUGCUGUGUGUUUGUGGUGUCUAAACGAUAUUUAAUAAACGCACACUACGCAGUA